rnacentral:tRNA from 1 species
GAGGGUAUAGCUCAGUGAUAGAGCACAUGCUUAGCAUGCACGAGGUCCUGGGUUCAAUCCCCAGUGCCUCCC